rnacentral:rRNA from 1 species
CCUACGGGAGGCUGCAGUGGGGAAUAUUGCGCAAUGGGCGAAAGCCUGAACGAGCAAUGCCGCGUGAACGAGGAAGGUCUUCGGAUCGUAAAGUUCUGUUGAAGGGGAAAAAGAGCGGAGAGAGGAAAUGGUCUCCGAUUGAUAUUACCCUUCGAGGAAGUCACGGCUAACUACGUGCCAGCAGCCGCGGUAAUACGUAGGUGGCGAGCGUUAUCCGGAAUGAUUGGGCGUAAGGGGUGCGUAGGCGGCCUGCUAAGUCUGGAGUGAAAGGUACCGGCUCAACCGGUACAGGCUCUGGAAACUGGCGGGCUAGAGAGCAGGAGAGGGCGGUGGAACUCCAUGUGUAGCGGUAAAAUGCGUAGAUAUAUGGAAGAACACCAGUGGCGAAGGCGGCCGCCUGGCCUGUUACUGACGCUGAGGCACGAAAGCGUGGGGAGCAAAUAGGAUUAGAUACCCCUGUAGUC